UACGGAGGGUGCAAGCGUUAAUCGGAAUUACUGGGCGUAAAGGGUGCGUAGGCGGGCCUUUAAGUCAGGGGUGAAAUCCUGGAGCUCAACUCCAGAACUGCCUUUGAUACUGAGGAUCUUGAGUUCGGGAGAGGUGAGUGGAACUGCGAGUGUAGAGGUGAAAUUCGUAGAUAUUCGCAAGAACACCAGUGGCGAAGGCGGCUCACUGGCCCGAUACUGACGCUGUGGCGCGAAAGCUAGGGGAGCAAACGGG
rnacentral:rRNA from 1 species